rnacentral:miRNA from 1 species
UGCUUGUUUUUGGAUGAGCUUGC